rnacentral:rRNA from 1 species
AUGGACGUCAAUCACAUGAUGAGGUCCCAGAGAAUCAACCCGGAUUCCCUCGCUGAUGGCGGAGUCAGCGGCGCGAGCAGGAACCCAGCGGCGCCGGCGCCGGCCCCCAAACCGAGCAAGGACGAGCGCGCUCCGGACGUCGUCGUCGACACCUCACGCCUCGCGCCUUACUUCCCCCGCACCUCGCUCGAGAAUCGUCCGGCGUCCUCAUCCGCUGCCCUCCUGAGCCACUAUCGCUACAACGUCGCCAUGGACACGUCCCACUCCCAGGGACCCGACCUCGGCGGCGGCGGUGGCGGCGGCAUCGCCUUGUCGGACUGUCCCUUGCCGCUCCAGUGGUGGGGCCACGGGAAGCGGUCGCGCAGCCGUCGCGAGACGCCGGUGCCCGAACCCGAGCUGACGCGCGCCGAGGUGCGCCGUCAGAAAUCCCUCAACUACAGGAGCCGCAGGGCGGCGAAGGCGAAGGCGCGAGCGGCUAUGGCGCCGCCGGGCGCCCGCGGUCCCAACCUCAGCGCAUCCCCAUCGCCUCCUCCUCGCGCCGGCACCCUCUGGCUCCACGGGUACUCUGCGGCGGAGCUUCACAACACCGUUGGCGAGCAACAGCCAACGUUGAAGGAGGAGAAGGUGAUGCCGCCGCCGAGCGCCCUUGGUCCCAUCUUCUCGACCGUCUCUCCUCAUGCUGCCACCCUCUCGCACCACAGUUCUUCGGAGGAACCUCACACCGCCGCCGGCGAGAAGCAGGCAGGGGCGAAGGAGGAGAAGCAGCAGCCAGCGGUGGAGGAGGAGAAGCAGCAGCCAGCGCCCAAAGUGGAGCCUAAGAAGCAGCAGCGUCAGGAGUCGAUCAAGGCGACAGCGGAGCAGAAAGGGAAGGCGCCCAUGGUGGAGGUGCCGCCACACGUUGAGGAGGAGGAGGAGGAGAAGGCGGCCAUGGCGAGGCCGGUGGUGCCGCGGGUCGUCACGCAGCUGACGCACGAGGAGAAAGAGGAGGACUGGCUGGCCAUGACGGUCACCAGGCUGCCGCGGUUCCCCCACAGGCGCCCCGGGAUAGUCCAGAAGCAAGUCAACAACAUCUGCCCAGGGGAGUGGCUCUGGCAGGCCAACAGGACCAGGUACAAAGUCAAGGAAAAGAAGUCCGAGAAGCGCGUGGGCGGCCUGAAAGGCAUGUCGACGGAUGACGAGGACUCCGACUCCGACUGA